GUUUCCCCUGGAGUCCCUCUGAACACUUCAUUGGGAGUUUGAAGAUGGCCCUUUAAUUAUAGUAUUGAAACAAGGUGCCUGCUUGCUUAAUUGCCUACUGAAGUGUUUGGGGGAACUCUGGGUGACAC
rnacentral:pre_miRNA from 1 species